UACUAUGUGUGGCAAGUAUUUUCCUGUAAGACUUAAGAAAAAUCUUGAAACCAAGCAUAAAUACAAAGCUGUAAUGUAUAUUAUUAUUAAAUGUGAAUCAAUAUGGUAUUACACCAGUGCUUCACCAAUAAGAAGAAUUGCAUUAAACUGGUAGCACAGUAAGAGAAUGGUUGUUUACGGAACAGUGACGGGGAAAGAAGAAGGAGCAUCCGCGAGUUCAAGGAAUAGGUAGGAAAGUCUCUUUGUGGAGGAAAAAGUACUGAGGGAAAAAACCCACAGGGCAGAUGUAUUGGUCUGGAUAAGACUAUGUGGUAUUAUGUUUUUAUUAACUAGUCAUAAGUGGUAGAGGUUCUGAAAACAUGUAAGUAAAAGCAUUCUAGGAGUACUGUGAAAAAUAAACAGGAUAAUUAUUAUAAAAAUGGUACUCUCAAAGCUCUCAAAGCAUUUUUUAUUAAAUCCAAAAUUAUACUGAUGUAACAUUAAGAAUGAGAUUUUAACUGAAAUGUUUAAACCAAAGGUUUCUUCAAGAAACCCUCACACUGUUCCCAUGAGUAUAUGCAUAACAAUAGAUUCUUUCAUUGUGUACUGAAUUUUUGCAUCAGACACUGAAUAAUAAUUAUUUUCCACUGUAGCUUCACCCCAGCCUACCUGGAGUUUCACAACACCACAGAAGAAAGCUGCUUUCUGAAUAGGCAGCUCCUCAAAGAGGCAGUGAUCUACCAGAUGCUAAGAGGAUACACAGAAACAUGAGGGAGGGCUUAAGCCAGUAUAUAGGAGAGAAACCAGAUGUGUGAGAAACAUUAUACAGGCACUGUCAAAAAUGAAGAAAGAAAUAGCUUGAAGAAGCAGAUGGGUGGACAAGGUAUUUUCCCUCAAAAAUCUCAACAAACAAUGGGAGGAAGAAAAUGGAUACCAACCUAGAACAGCUUCAUUGAUAAAAUGAACUUGAUCUGUGUCUGAUAAAUCUUGAUAUUCAGGCAAGGUCUCCUGUCAUGUUGUUCUUUAUCAAGAGGUAUGCUCAGUUUUGGGACUGCUGCACCAAGAUUUUCUAAGAUCAGAGCAUUCUGCCUUCAGAGAAGCAGAGCUGAGAUCUCUCAGCAGCAGUCAGGAAGUGAAUGCGAAGCUGAAUAACAUUUUGUUAAAACAGAGCAUCAGGAAUUGGUUUUACUGAAGAACAGAGGAAUCAUACAUUUGGAAAUAGUUGCUAUAAAAAGAAGUACUAGAUCUUGAUAGAAGAAAGGAGCAAGAGCACUACAGUUUCCCCUCUGGGUGCCAGCAAACCAUCUUAGGAUUCAUUCUGAAUAUUUCAGUUUGAUCCUGAAAAGAACUCCUUGAUCUGGAAGCUGCAGCUUGUACAGAACCUGCCUCUCAUUUGCACUUCUGGAGAAGAAUGAGCUAUUCGCUCCUGCUAUGCUGCAAGGCUUAUUCGCUUUGUGGUCAAUUCUCAAAUGUCUGUGAGAAGAUUAUCUGGGUUAUGUAUUAUAUGUGUCAUGCUUUAAAAAAAAAGGAAAUCCUUUUCUAGUCUCAUUCCUUGCUUAUAGUCUUGUUCUUAAAAGGUAAAUAUACUGAACAGAAUGUGCUAGCAUUUACUGUAUGUGUGUGGGUUUUAUGUGUUUAACUUUAUUUGGGUACCCUGUCCCCUCCUCUCACUGUUCUUGGAGAGUUGGCAGCAUUUAUGCUUGAAAUCUGUUGCUAUAGAGUUAUACCAGGUUUGGUUUUGUAUCUAAAGUAGUGUGAACACCUACAAUACUAUAAAAACGGUCAUUGUGAUUUAGGAUGGCUUAUUCUUGGCCACUCUUUGUCCUUUCCACUGUGUAAUUCAUUCCUGCUAUUCUCUUUUUUUUUCCUAUUCUUUGUACCUGUGAGCAAUUGAUUUCUUUUGAUACGAGGUUUGAUUGAUGCUGUCUUGGCUAGAUAUC